rnacentral:rRNA from 1 species
AGCGCAUACGGUGGAUGCCUUGGCAGUCAGAGGCGAUGAAAGACGUGGUAGCCUGCGAAAAGCUUCGGGGAGUCGGCAAACAGACUGUGAUCCGGAGAUGUCUGAAUGGGGGAACCCAGCCAUCAUAAGAUGGUUAUCUUACACUGAAUACAUAGGUGUAAGAGGCGAACCAGGGGAACUGAAACAUCUAAGUACCCUGAGGAAAAGAAAUCAACCGAGAUUCCCUUAGUAGUGGCGAGCGAACGGGGACCAGCCCUUAAGUUGUAUUGAGAUUAGCGGAACGCUCUGGAAAGUGCGGCCAUAGUGGGUGAUAGCCCUGUACGCGAAAAUCCCUUUGCAAUGAAAUCGAGUAGGACGGGGCACGAGAAACCUUGUCUGAAUAUGGGGGGACCAUCCUCCAAGGCUAAAUACUACUGACUGACCGAUAGUGAACCAGUACCGUGAGGGAAAGGCGAAAAGAACCGCGGAGAGCGGAGUGAAAUAGAUCCUGAAACCGUAUGCGUACAAGCAGUGGGAGCCCACUUUGUUGGGUGACUGCGUACCUUUUGUAUAAUGGGUCAGCGACUUAUUUUCAGUGGCGAGCUUAACCGAAUAGGGGAGGCGUAGCGAAAGCGAGUCUUAAUAGGGCGUCUAGUCGCUGGGAAUAGACCCGAAACCGGGCGAUCUAUCCAUGGGCAGGUUGAAGGUUGGGUAACACUAACUGGAGGACCGAACCGACUACCGUUGAAAAGUUAGCGGAUGACCUGUGGAUCGGAGUGAAAGGCUAAUCAAGCUCGGAGUGGUUGAAGGUUGGGUAACACUAACUGGAGGACCGAACCGACUACCGUUGAAAAGUUAGCGGAUGACCUGUGGAUCGGAGUGAAAGGCUAAUCAAGCUCGGAGAUAGCUGGUUCUCCUCGAAAGCUAUUUAGGUAGCGCCUCAUGUAUCACUGUAGGGGGUAGAGCACUGUUUCGGCUAGGGGGUCAUCCCGACUUACCAAACCGAUGCAAACUCCGAAUACCUACAAGUGCCGAGCAUGGGAGACACACGGCGGGUCUGUUUCGGCUAGGGGGUCAUCCCGACUUACCAAACCGAUGCAAACUCCGAAUACCUACAAGUGCCGAGCAUGGGAGACACACGGCGGGUGCUAACGUCCGUCGUGAAAAGGGAAACAACCCAGACCGUCAGCUAAGGUCCCAAAGUCAUGGUUAAGUGGGAAACGAUGUGGGAAGGCUUAGACAGCUAGGAGGUUGAAAAGGGAAACAACCCAGACCGUCAGCUAAGGUCCCAAAGUCAUGGUUAAGUGGGAAACGAUGUGGGAAGGCUUAGACAGCUAGGAGGUUGGCUUAGAAGCAGCCACCCUUUAAAGAAAGCGUAAUAGCUCACUAGUCGAGUCGGCCUGCGCGGAAGAUGUAACGGGGCUCAAACCAUGCACCGAAGCUACGGGUAUCAUCUUAUGAUGAUGCGGUAGAGGAGCGUUCUGUAAGCCUGUGAAGGUAAGAUGUAACGGGGCUCAAACCAUGCACCGAAGCUACGGGUAUCAUCUUAUGAUGAUGCGGUAGAGGAGCGUUCUGUAAGCCUGUGAAGGUGAGUUGAGAAGCUUGCUGGAGGUAUCAGAAGUGCGAAUGCUGACAUGAGUAACGACAAUGGGUGUGAAAAACACCCACGCCGAAAGACCAAGGUUUCCUGCGCAACGUUAAUCGACGCAGGGUUAGUCGGUCCCUAAGGCGAGGCUGAAAAGCGUAGUCGAUGGAAAACAGGUCCCACGCCGAAAGACCAAGGUUUCCUGCGCAACGUUAAUCGACGCAGGGUUAGUCGGUCCCUAAGGCGAGGCUGAAAAGCGUAGUCGAUGGAAAACAGGUUAAUAUUCCUGUACUUCUGGUUAUUGCGAUGGAGGGACGGAGAAGGCUAGGCCAGCCUGGCGUUGGUAGUCCAGGUUUAAGGUGGUAGGCUGAGAUCUUAGGUAAAUCCGGGAUCUUAAGGCCGAGAGCUGAUGACGAGUGUUCUUUUAGAACAUGAAGUGGUUGAUGCCAUGCUUCCAAGAAAAGCUUCUAAGCUUCAGGUAACCAGGAACCGUACCCCAAACCGACACAGGUGGUUGGGUAGAGAAUACCAAGGCGCUUGAGAGAACUCGGGUGAAGGAACUAGGCAAAAUGGCACCGUAACUUCGGGAGAAGGUGCGCCGGUGAGGGUGAAGCAUUUACUGCGUAAGCCCACGCCGGUCGAAGAUACCAGGCCGCUGCGACUGUUUAUUAAAAACACAGCACUCUGCAAACACGAAAGUGGACGUAUAGGGUGUGACGCCUGCCCGGUGCCGGAAGGUUAAUUGAUGGGGUUAGCGCAAGCGAAGCUCUUGAUCGAAGCCCCGGUAAACGGCGGCCGUAACUAUAACGGUCCUAAGGUAGCGAAAUUCCUUGUCGGGUAAGUUCCGACCUGCACGAAUGGCGUAACGAUGGCGGCGCUGUCUCCACCCGAGACUCAGUGAAAUUGAAAUCGCUGUGAAGAUGCAGUGUAUCCGCGGCUAGACGGAAAGACCCCGUGAACCUUUACUAUAGCUUUGCACUGGACUUUGAAUUUGCUUGUGUAGGAUAGGUGGGAGGCUUUGAAGCGUGGACGCCAGUCUGCGUGGAGCCAACCUUGAAAUACCACCCUGGCAACUUUGAGGUUCUAACUCAGGUCCGUUAUCCGGAUCGAGGACAGUGUAUGGUGGGUAGUUUGACUGGGGCGGUCUCCUCCUAAAGAGUAACGGAGGAGUACGAAGGUGCGCUCAGACCGGUCGGAAAUCGGUCGUAGAGUAUAAAGGCAAAAGCGCGCUUGACUGCGAGACAGACACGUCGAGCAGGUACGAAAGUAGGUCUUAGUGAUCCGGUGGUUCUGUAUGGAAGGGCCAUCGCUCAACGGAUAAAAGGUACUCCGGGGAUAACAGGCUGAUACCGCCCAAGAGUUCAUAUCGACGGCGGUGUUUGGCACCUCGAUGUCGGCUCAUCACAUCCUGGGGCUGAAGCCGGUCCCAAGGGUAUGGCUGUUCGCCAUUUAAAGUGGUACGCGAGCUGGGUUUAGAACGUCGUGAGACAGUUCGGUCCCUAUCUGCCGUGGACGUUUGAGAUUUGAGAGGGGCUGCUCCUAGUACGAGAGGACCGGAGUGGACGAACCUCUGGUGUUCCGGUUGUCACGCCAGUGGCAUUGCCGGGUAGCUAUGUUCGGAAAAGAUAACCGCUGAAAGCAUCUAAGCGGGAAACUUGCCUCAAGAUGAGAUCUCACUGGAACCUUGAGUUCCCUGAAGGGUUGU